rnacentral:rRNA from 1 species
GACGAACGCUGGCGGCGUGCCUAAUACAUGCAAGUAGAACGCACAGUUUAUACCGUAGCUUGCUACACCAUAAACUGUGAGUUGCGAACGGGUGAGUAACGCGUAGGUAACCUGCCUGGUAGCGGGGGAUAACUAUUGGAAACGAUAGCUAAUACCGCAUAAUAUUAAUUAUUGCAUGAUAAUUGAUUGAAAGAUGCAAUUGCAUCACUACCAGAUGGACCUGCGUUGUAUUAGCUAGUAGGUGAGGUAACGGCUCACCUAGGCGACGAUACAUAGCCGACCUGAGAGGGUGAUCGGCCACACUGGGACUGAGACACGGCCCAGACUCCUACGGGAGGCAGCAGUAGGGAAUCUUCGGCAAUGGAGGAAAGUCUGACCGAGCAACGCCGCGGGAGUGAAGAAGGUUGUCGGAUCGUAAAGCUCUGUUGGAAGAGAAGAACGGGUGUGAGAGUGGUAAGUUCACACUGUGACGGUAUCUUACCAGAAAGGGACGGCUAACUACGUG